AAUCAACGCUGGCGGCGUGCCUAACACAUGCAAGUCGAACGCGAAAGCCCCGCAAGGGGUAAGUAGAGUGGCAAACGGGUGAGUAACACGUGGGUGACCUGCCUUCGAGUGGGGGAUAACGUCCCGAAAGGGACGCUAAUACCGCAUGACAUCCUGCUUUUGAAAAAGCGGAGAUCAAAGCUGGGGAUCGCAAGACCUAGCGCUUGAAGAGGGGCCCGCGCCUGAUUAGCUAGUUGGUGAGGUAACGGCUCACCAAGGCGACGAUCAGUAUCCGGCCUGAGAGGGCGGACGGACACACUGGGACUGAGACACGGCCCAGACUCCUACGGGAGGCAGCAGUGGGGAAGUGUUCGCAAUGGGCGCAAGCCUGACGACGCAACGCCGCGUGGAGGACGAAGAUCUUCGGGUCGUAAACUCCUGUCGAGCGGGACGAACGCUUCGCGGAUGAAUAAUCCGCGGAAUUGACGGUACCGCUAAAGGAAGCCCCGGCUAACUCCGUG
rnacentral:rRNA from 1 species